rnacentral:rRNA from 1 species
GAUGAACGCUAGCUACAGGCUUAACACAUGCAAGUCGAGGGGUAACGAGAGGAAAGCUUGCUUUCCUUGUCGACGACCGGCGCACGGGUGAGUAACGCGUAUCCAACCUGCCCCCAACUAGGGAAUAACCCUGCGAACGUAAGACUAAUACCCCAUAAUUUCCUCAGAUGCCAUCUGACGAGGAAUAAAGAUUUAUCGGUUGUGGAUGGGGAUGCGUCUGAUUAGCUUGUUGGCGGGGUAACGGCCCACCAAGGCAACGAUCAGUAGGGGUUCUGAGAGGAAGGGCCCCCACAUUGGAACUGAGACACGGUCCAAACUCCUACGGGAGGCAGCAGUGAGGAAUAUUGGUCAAUGGGCGGAAGCCUGAACCAGCCAAGUAGCGUGCAGGAUGACGGCCCUAUGGGUUGUAAACUGCUUUUAUACAGGAAUAAAGUUAGCCACGUGUGGUUAUUUGUAGGUACUGUAUGAAUAAGGACCGGCUAAUUCCGUGCCAGCAGCCGCAGUAA